rnacentral:misc_RNA from 1 species
CCUAAAUACCCCGUUGUCUCUCCAAUCCUCAAGCUCUGUAUUUCCCUUCUCAACCCUCGCCACCCCACUCUCCCUCUUCUGCCCUUCUCUCUAAUUUCCCAAUCCCACCCUUCGCUUCUUCUUGCCCUUCUUCCCUUUUCUGUUUUUCCGAUCUUCUCCCUGAUUUACCCGCCAGUUUUCAAAUUCUCGUUUUCAAUUUCUGGCUUCUUCUUUGCCAAUCUACUUCAACAAUCCCUAAUUCUUUGCUUCGAUCCGUACUAUGUCCUCUUGUUCCCGUCUCUGCAUUUCACUUGUCUGAGUUUUCUUCAACACUCAGUUCUUGUUUUCUGCUUUUACUUUGUAUAAGGCCGCUUUCUGGGUUUAUGCCUAGAGUUUUUAUUUGCUGUUUUGGGCAUUUUAAUGUCAGGCAUAUGUUGAUACUGUAAACAGAUAGGUUUUGUGGGUAUCAUUUUGCAAAUUGGUGGUUUCAUCUGGGGGCUGAGUUAUCACAAUUAUUUUUGACAUAUUGGGAUUGAUUUUAUUCGAUGGCAAACCAUGACUUGAUACUGGGGCAAAGUCACAAUUUAGGGCUUAGGCAGAAUCAACAAUUGGUCUUAGGGCAUAAUCACAAUUUGGGUCUAGGCCAGAAUCAUGAUUUGGAAUUGGGACAAGCACAUGAGCAUCAUUUGGGUUUAGGACAGACACAUGAUCAUGAACUGGGUUUAGGACAUCCUCAUGACCAUGAAUUGGGUUUGGGACAGAGUGAUGACCACGAUGGAGAUGCUGGUCAUAGUUAUGGCCAUGAGAAUGAGUUAGGUAUGGAUCGCAAACCUGAAGAGGGAGAUCAUGAGUUGGCUCUUCCUCCACAUAACCAUGAGUUAGCCUUAUCGGAGAACAAUGAAUUGGUUGUUUCGGAAAACCAAGAACUUGAUCAGAACCUGGAACUAGCUGUGGACCAGAACCAGGAAAUGGGCAUGGAGCCUACUCAGGAUUUGUCCAUUGAGGACUCCCAGCUUGUUGUCCACACUCCUGUCAUUCAGGCUCGUACACUUGCUAUAGCUCCUAAUUAUGAGCUGUCAGUAGGGCAGGAAUUCCCAGAUGUCAUCAGCUGUCGUAGGGCAUUGAGGGAUACAGCCAUUGGUCUUCACUUUGAAAUGCAGACGAUAAAAUCUGACAAGACUCGAUUCACAGCUAAAUGUGCCAGUGAGGGGUGCCCCUGGCGAAUACAUGCAGCGAAGCUGCCAGGAGUUCCAACUUUCACCAUCAGGACCAUCCAUGAGACCCAUACAUGUGGUGGAAUUGCUCAUCUUGGCCAUCAGCAAGCCUCAGUUCAGUGGGUUGCAAACUCAGUAGAGCAAAGACUUAAGGAAAACCCUAAUUACAAGCCAAAGGAAAUAUUGGAAGAGAUUCAUCGAGUACAUGGUAUAACUUUGUCAUACAAGCAAGCUUGGAGAGGCAAGGAGCGAAUCAUGGCUGCCAUGCGUGGAUCCUUUGAAGAAGGCUAUCGAUUGCUUCCACAGUAUUGUGAACAGGUUAAACGGACAAAUCCUGGGAGUAUUGCAUCUGUGUAUGGCAACCCAACAGAUAACUGCUUCCAGCGCCUCUUCAUCUCAUUUCAGGCAUCAAUUUAUGGUUUUCUGAAUGCUUGUCGGCCUCUCCUUGGGUUAGAUAGGACAUUUUUGAAAAGCAAGUACCUUGGUACUUUGCUUCUUGCUACUGGCUUUGAUGGGGAUGGUGCUCUGUUUCCUUUGGCAUUUGGUGUUGUUGAUGAGGAGAAUGAUGAAAAUUGGAUGUGGUUUCUGUCUGAACUUCAUAACCUCCUGGAGAUCAAUACAGAAAACAUGCCAAGGCUUACAAUAUUGUCUGACCGGCAGAAGGGCAUUGUUGAUGGAGUGGAAGCAAAUUUUCCAACUGCUUUUCAUGGAUUUUGCAUGCGUCACUUGAGUGAAAGCUUCCGAAAAGAGUUUAACAACACCAUGCUUGUCAACCUUCUAUGGGAAGCUGCUCAUGCUCUGACCGUCAUUGAAUUUGAGGCAAAAAUUCUAGAGAUUGAGGAGAUAUCACAAGAUGCUGCAUAUUGGAUACGAAGAAUCCCCCCUCGGUUGUGGGCUACAGCUUAUUUUGAAGGGACUCGGUUUGGGCAUUUGACAGCUAAUAUAAUUGAAUCAUUGAACUGUUGGAUUUUGGAAGCCUCUGGGCUUCCAAUAAUUCAGAUGAUGGAAUGCAUUAGGAGGCAGCUAAUGACUUGGUUCAACGAACGCAGAGAGACCAGUAUGCAGUGGACAUCAAUACUUGUGCCUUCUGCUGAGAGGCGCGUUGCGGAGGCUCUUGAGCGAGCACGCACUUAUCAGGUGCUUCGAGCUAAUGAAGCUGAGUUUGAAGUUAUAUCCCAUGAAGGAACUAAUAUUGUGGACAUUAGGAACCGCUGUUGCCUUUGCCGCGGCUGGCAGCUAUAUGGUUUGCCCUGUGCACACGCUGUGGCAGCACUUCUAUCUUGCAGGCAGAAUGUGCAUCGGUUUACUGAGAGUUGUUUCACUGUAGCAACCUAUCGAAAAACAUAUUCACAAACUAUUCAUCCAAUUCCAGAUAAAAGUCUCUGGAAGGAGUUGUCUGAGGGAGAUCCAAAUGCUAACAAGGCUGUUGAGGUUGUUAUUAAUCCACCCAAAUCACUUCGUCCACCUGGUCGGCCAAGAAAAAAGCGAGUCCGAGCAGAAGACCGUGGCCGUGUGAAGCGUGUUGUGCAUUGUAGCCGUUGCAAUCAGACAGGUCACUUUAGAACAACAUGUGCAGCACCCAUCUAAUUUGUGACUUCUGAAAUUUGAUCUGUUAUUAUAUUUGGGUAUGUCCUCUCUGUGCAAAAGUAUUUUAGCUUUUUAGUAUUCUUGUAGUCUCUAGUAGUUGUUAGGUUUGCAAGUAGAAGUUAUUUAUUAUGUGAAAGUCAAAGUCACGCAAACUAAGGUUGUUGUCUAUUAUCCUGUAUGACUGAUGGCAUCAAUAAUACAAUGUUAUGGAAGGAUUGCAUUCAUAAUUGUAGUUGCAUUAUCAAGAUGGUGAUUCUCAAGUGUUUGGGAAUUUUGAUUGGCACUCGUAAUCCCCUUCCCCUCCCUUUCUUUUUAGUUCACUCAUCGGAAGUUACCGCUGCUCUG